rnacentral:rRNA from 1 species
AAACUGUGCAAUGCGCGAAAGCGCGACACGGGAAGCCUGAGUGCCUUAACUAUGUUAAGGCUUUUCUUGAGCCUAAAAAGCUCAAGGAAUAAGAACUGGGUAAGACGGGUGCCAGCCGCCGCGGUAACACCCGCGGUUCGAGUGGUAGUCACUUUUAUUGAGCCUAAAGCGUUUGUAGCCGGAUUUGUAAAUCUCCAGGAAAAGACUUCAGCUCAACUGAAGAAAUUUUGGAGAGACUGCAAAUCUAGGGACCGGGUGAGGUUGAAUGUACUUCUGGGGUAGGGGUAAAAUCCUGUAAUCCUGGAAGGACGACNGGUGGCGAAGGCGUUCAACUAGAACGGAUCCGACGGUGAGGAACGAAGGCUAGGGGAGCAAACCGGAUUAGAUACCCGGGUAGUCCUAGCUGUAAACACUGCCCACUUGGUGUUGCAUCUCCGGUAAGGGGGUGCAGUGCCGUAGCGAAGGUGUUAAGUGGGCCGCUUGGGGAGUAUGGUCGCAAGGCUGAAACUUAAAGGAAUUGGCGGGAGAGCACCGCAACGGGAGGAGCGUGCGGUUUAAUUGGAUUCAACGCCGGAAAACUCACCGGAGGCGACCUAUGUAUGAGAGUCAACCUGAUGAGUUUACUCGAUAGUAGGAGAGGUGGUGCAUGGCCGUCGUCAGCUCGUACCGUAGGGCGUUCACUUAAGUGUGAUAACGAGCGAGACCCCCAUCUUCAAUUGCUAAUUCAAUCGUGAGGUUGGAAGAACUUUGAAGGGACCGCCAGC